GGAAGCGUCGCAUAGUGGCCAAUUGCACAGGUUUGCUAAACCUGAACCCUUAUGGGUUUCGUGGGUUCGAAUCCCACCGCUUCCG
rnacentral:tRNA from 1 species